rnacentral:lncRNA from 1 species
GUCUGAAGGUGUGAGAAUGAUGUUUUCUGGUUCUUGAGUCUGAUGGGAUGAGAAUUGUGCUAGAUGGUAUAGCAACAAAAUGAUGUGUGAUCUUGUACAUCAUAACCAGGCGUGCACGCAGUCUGCGUUGUGUUAAAAUAGGCCAGUUUAGUGUGUUCAGCAUGUUUGAUACACUGCUAGUAUUAUGAUACCUGUUGCAGGCAUACCGAGCAGCUCUC